rnacentral:tRNA from 1 species
GCAUUGGUGGUUUAGUGGUAGAAUUCUCACCUUCCACGCAGUGGCAAACCUGAGUUCGAUUCUCAGCCAGUGAA